GGCUAAUACCGGAUGCUUGUUUGAACCGCAUGGUUCAAACAUAAAAGGUGGCUUCGGCUACCACUUACAGAUGGACCCGCGGCGCAUUAGCUAGUUGGUGAGGUAAUGGCUCACCAAGGCAACGAUGCGUAGCCGACCUGAGAGGGUGAUCGGCCACACUGGGACUGAGACACGGCCCAGACUCCUACGGGAGGCAGCAGUAUGGAAUCUUCCGCAAUGGACGAAAGUCUGACGGAGCAACGCCGCGAGAGUGAUGAAGGUUUUCGGAUCGUAAAGCUCUGUUGAUAAGGAAGAACAAGUACCGUUCGAAUAGGGCGGUACCUUGACGGUACCUAACCAGAAAGCCACGCCUAACUACGUGCCAGCAGCCGCGGUAAUACGUAGGUGGCAAGCGUUGUCCGGAAUUAUUGGGCGUAAAGGGCUCGCAUGCGGUUUCUUAAGUCUGAUGUGAAAGCCCCCGCCUCAACCGGGGAGGGUCAUUGGAAACUGGGGAACUUGAGAGCAGAAGAGGAGAGUGGAAUUCCACGUGUAGCGCUGAAAUGCUUAGAGAUGUGCAGGAACACCAGUGGCGAAGGCGACUCUCUGGUCUGUAACUGACGCUGAGGAGCGAAAGCGUGGGGAGCGAACAGGAUUAGAUACCC
rnacentral:rRNA from 1 species